AGUGAACGCUGGCGGUAGGCCUAACACAUGCAAGUCGAACGGCAGCACAGUAAGAGCUUGCUCUUACGGGUGGCGAGUGGUGGACGGGUGAGGAAUACAUCGGAAUCUACUUUUUCGUGGGGGAUAACGUAGGGAAACUUACGCUAAUACCGCAUACGACCUACGGGUGAAAGCAGGGGAUCUUCGGACCUUGCGCGAUUGAAUGAGCCGAUGUCGGAUUAGCUAGUUGGCGGGGUAAAGGCCCACCAAGGCGACGAUCCGUAGCUGGUCUGAGAGGAUGAUCAGCCACACUGGAACUGAGACACGGUCCAGACUCCUACGGGAGGCAGCAGUGGGGAAUAUUGGACAAGGGGCGCAAGCCUGAUCCAGCCAUACCGCGUGGGUGAAGAAGGCCUUCGGGUUGUAAAGCCCUUUUGUUGGGAAAGAAAAGCAGCAGGUUAAUACCCCGCUGUUCUGACGGUACCCAAAGAAUAAGCACCGGCUAACUUCGUGC
rnacentral:rRNA from 1 species